UCAAGAAAGGUUUCAGAACUGAAAGACUAGAGUUUGAUAGGGGAAAGUAGAAUUUCUAAUGGAGGGAUAAAAUUCAUAGAGAUUAGAAGGAAUACCAGAGGCGAAGGCGACUUUCUGGAUCAAAACUGACGCUGAGAGACGAAAGCAUGGGUAGCGAACAGGAUUAGAUACCCUGGUAGUCCAUAGCUGUAAACGAUGAGUGCUCGUAUUUAGGGUCAAUCUUAGAUACUAAGCUAACGCGUUAAGCACUCCACCUGGGGAGUACGGUCGCAAGACUGAAACUCAAAGGAAUUGACGGGGGCCCACACAAGCGGUGGAGCAUGUGGUUUAAUUCGACAAUACGCGCAGAACCUUACCAGCCCUUGACAUAUAAGUGGAGGUCUAUGAGAAUAGGUCUUUUCAUGCUUAUACAGGCGCUGCAUGGCUGUCGUCAGCUCGUGUCGUGAGAUGUUGGGUUAAGUCCUUUAACGAGCGCAACCCUCUUUAUCUGUUGCUAUCACCUUAAGGUGAGCACUCUGAUAAAACUGCCAGUGAUAAACUGGAGGAAGGUGGGGAUGACGUCAAGUCCUCAUGGCCCUUAUGGGCUGGGCUACACACGUGCUACAAUGGUAAUGACAAAGGGAAGCAAUAACGCGAGUUGGAGCGAAUCCUUAAAGAUUAUCUCAGUUCGGAUUGCAGGCUGCAACUCGCCUGCAUGAAGUUGGAAUCGCUAGUAAUCGUAGAUCAGCAUGCUACGGUGAAUUUGUACCUGGGCCUUGUACACACCGCCCGUCACAUUUUGGGAGUGUGUUCUACUUGAUACAAGGGA
rnacentral:rRNA from 1 species